rnacentral:rRNA from 1 species
UGAANGNACCAAAUGANUAAGCACCGGCUAACUCCNUGCCAGCAGCCGCGGUAAUACGGAGGGUGCAAGCGUUAUCCGGAAUCAUUGGGUUUAAAGGGUCCNCAGGCGGGCAUAUAANUCANUGGUGAAAGCCUACNGCUCAACUGUANAACUGCCAUUGAUACUGUAAGUCUUGAAUUCGGUCGAAGUGGGCGGAAUGNGUANUGUAGCGGUGAAAUGCAUANAUAUUACACAGAACACCGAUAGCNAAGGCAGCUCACUAGGCCUGGAUUGACGCUCAGGGACNAAAGCGUGGGGAUCAAACAGGAUUAGANACCCUGGUAGUCCACGCUGUAAACNAUGAUUACUCGUUUUCGGCUAUAUACANUCGGAAACUAAGCNAAAGUGAUAAGUAAUCCACCUGG